AACAUUCAUUGUUGUCGGUGGGUUGUGAAGAUGGAGGCCAGACCCACCGAGGGAUGAAUGUCAC
rnacentral:pre_miRNA from 1 species